rnacentral:rRNA from 1 species
UUUCUCGCAUCGAUGAAGAACGCAGCGAAAUGCGAUAAGUAGUGUGAAUUGCAGAAUUCAGUGAAUCAUCGAAUCUUUGAACGCACAUUGCGCCCCUUGGUAUUCCAUGGGGCAUGCCUGUUCGAGCGUCAUUUAUACCUUCAAGCUCUGCUUGGUGUUGGGUGUUUGUCUCGCCUCUGCGCGUAGACUCGCCUUAAAACAAUUGGCAGCCGGCGUAUUGAUUUCGGAGCGCAGUACAUCUCGCGCUUUGCACUCAUAACGACGGCAUCCAAAAGUACAUCUUAACGCUUGACCUCGGAUCAGGUAGGGAUACCCGCUGAACUUAAGCAUAUCAAUAAGCGGAGGA